AAGAGCCGUAUGAUAGGAGACCAUUACGUACUGUUCUGUGAGAGGGGAAGGUUGGAACUUCCCUUGUCUACUCGAC
rfam:Joostella marina DSM 19592 genomic scaffold Joomascaffold_1, whole genome shotgun sequence.